UAAAAAAUUAUAUCAUAAACUAUUGUACAUAAAAAUUUGAUGUAUAGAUAUAAACCACUGUACAGAUGUAUCUGUAUAGUGAUGUACAGAUAUAUUUGUACACCACAUCUGUACAGUGGUAUCUGUACAGUGGUGUACAGAUAUAAGCCAUUUACAUAUAUAGAUACAAAUUAAUAUAGAUGAAUAAACAACUAUACAAAUAAGUACAAAAAUUACUCUUUGUCUUUGUGUUAUUUUUUGUUUCUGGUAUUUUAACAAAAUAGUUUUCUUAUUCUCUUUAUUCAAUUGUAUCUGUACAGUAGUAUCUGUACAGUGGUGUACAGAUACAUCUGUACAGAUAUAAAUUACUGUACAGAUAUAAGGUAUUUACAUAUAUGGAUAUAAAUUAUUAUAGAUGAAUAAACAACUGUACAAAUAAGUACAAAAAUUACUUUUUGUCUUUGUGUUCUUUUUUGUUUCUGGUAUUUCAACAAUAUAGUUUUUUUAUUCUCUCUAUUCAAUUGGUUUAGAGACUAGCUAAUAUGCUUAUUUAUUUUCCAUGGUUUGUGGUUGUGAGAGGAGAGGUUGUGGUUAAACACAAAAUAACGUGAAUCGAAUAUAAACAAUGAUAUUACCAGCAGUGACAAAUAUCACAUAAAAAUUGAAUCCGAACAUAGCCAGUUAGUAUAUACAUGAUUCGAAGCCAACUACAAAUUUCUGAAUUAGCAACCAUAAUAAUGUAUAGAUAGAAAUCAACCUGCGACUAAAUUAUUGAUUGACGAGCAGAAAACCUAACUUCAAAGAGAGAAAAAAAGAAAUGCAUAGUAAUAUCUGUACAGUGGUCUAUAUCUGUACAGUAGUCUAUACCUGUACAGUGCUCAGUAAUAUAAAAUUUAAAAAUUAUUAAACAAAAUGCAUAUCAAAUGAUUGAGAAAAAAACAUAAAUUUUUAUGUAUAUGAUCUAUUUUGGAAAAAUAAAUUUUACAAACGAGCAUUUUAAUUCUUAAAAUUGAAGGGAAUGAAAUAUAAUAUAUUAAAAAAAGGAAAAUAUAAAAAAAACGGACCCACACUCUAGUUCUUUCACACGCUUUCUCUCUCUCCAUAAAACCUCUCUUCUAUUGUUUUAGUGACAUGAAUGUAAAUAGAUGAUUUUAUAAGUGGCAAAAACGAACUCACCAUAAAGCCAACAGUAACAUAUAUAGUACAAACCCAAUAUUAAAUAGGAACCGUACUAUUUUCUAAUUAUUUUCCCAAAACGUACUAAUUUUCAAACAAACUCUUAUAUUAUCUAUAGUUUUCUUAUUUAAAAAUUCGAAAUAUUUAAUUUUAGCAAGUUUAGUUAACAAAAAUAAGUAGUAUAUCGAAAUAAUAAUGUUUGGCACGAUGAAUAGUAAAAUU
rnacentral:sRNA from 1 species